CGGAAGGGCGUGUAGUAAUAUGAAAAAUCAUGUUUUUGUAUAUAAGAACUUUAUACUUGAACAUUAGACCACUUAAGGAUAAAUUAUCUAUCAUCUGUAAAUGUACAUACAACUAUAUGCACAAAGACAAUAAAGAUCAUUGAGAUAUAAAUCAUGAAAGAGGGGCGAAAGAUACCAGAGGGACAUUCAAACUCAUACAUCGACAUGACAAAUUACUAUAACUCCACUUUUUAAUUGGCCAAAACUGAACCCGAAUGGAGGCAACAUAUAUUGGGCUUCUGAUGGAUAUUUUGAUGGCGUUUGAUUUAACAAACGGAACUUAUACCAGUUUGAGUGAAAUAGAACACAAAAGAUUUCUGGACCAAGGGAUUCCAGCUACAGUAUGCCUUAGUUUCUUGUGUAUCAUAGGAACAAUUGGAAAUAUACACAUGAUAUUGAUACUCAAGAUAUCGCCAGUCAUGGCAAAAUAUUCGAUUCGAGUUUUCAUCAUUUUGCUUUUUUUAACUGAUCUUAUAGCAUGUUUUUAUGCCAUUUGAAAUUUAUAAUAUUCGAUACAGCUACACCACAUCUACCAGUGGUUGCAAAUUCUUCAUGGUCCAAAAGACAA